rnacentral:rRNA from 1 species
AGUGAACGCUGGCGGUAGGCCUAACACAUGCAAGUCGAACGGCAGCACAGUAAGAGCUUGCUCUUACGGGUGGCGAGUGGCGGACGGGUGAGGAAUACAUCGGAAUCUACUUUUUCGUGGGGGAUAACGUAGGGAAACUUACGCUAAUACCGCAUACGACCUACGGGUGAAAGCAGGGGAUCUUCGGACCUUGCGCGAGUGAAUGAGCCGAUGUCGGAUUAGCUAGUUGGCGGGGUAAAGGCCCACCAAGGCGACGAUCCGUAGCUGGUCUGAGAGGAUGAUCAGCCACACUGGAACUGAGACACGGUCCAGACUCCUACGGGAGGCAGCAGUGAGGAAUAUUGGACAAUGGGCGCAAGCCUGAUCCAGCCAUACCGCGUGGGUGAAGAAGGCCUUCGGGUUGUAAAGCCCUUUUGUUGGGAAAGAAAAGCAGCAGGUUAAUACCCCGCUGUUCUGACGGUACCCAAAGAAUAAGCACCGGCUAACUUCGUG